CUAAGAUCAGAUUACCCAUAAAUAGGUACUUAUUUUACCCAUAUUUGGGUUUUGCAUGCAUAACCCAUAAUAUGGGUAAAAUAUACCAAUAAAAUUCGGUAAGAUUUACGCAUAUUUUGAAUAAAGUUACUUUACUCAAAUAUGGGUAAUUCCACUCUACCCAUAUUUGGAUGAAAAAAAUAAACUUCACAACAAAGGCAAAGUCGAAGUCAACUUGUCGGGUGUCGAAUUAUUCUUGUCAUUUUUAUAUGACUCUCGUAUAUUAAAUAUUAUUGCGUAAAUAUUUUUCAAUUAUACAUCAUUAACUCGUAAAAAUAACGGUUUCGUAUUCUCCGUUGAAAUCCGUGUCAACAGAUUUUACUAACUGAUUUAGAAUAUCAAAACAGUUACUGUGGGAAGCCGAACGAAAUUAGUCUAUGGCCGAACCACGUCCAAUAUUCUGUGUCGCAAGUUGAUGUUUUUGUUCCGGAAAGAUAGUCACGAAACGCGCUCAAUGGGUCGACGAGAAGGAAUCAGAGACGUACUUAGAAUAAACGACUGAGAUCCGGAAGAUGAGCUCCGGAAUGUGCAUGAGGAAGUUUUCAGGAAGAAACUUUCGAUCUUUCGACUGCGGAAAGAGCAACGUUCCUUUAUCGCCAGUGCCAUGAUGUUUUUAGACGUCAGGAACAUUACUGCAGAGAAGCGAAAGUUCAUCGAGAUAAUGACUAUUUCAACUGCGAUGAGUCCUACUAGAAAGAGAAGAUUUCCAAUAUCGGGAAGGAUUCUCCGAGAAGUGUUCCGUCCGGGCGUAGCUGAUGUCGUAGCUGGAUACACUACCGGAGAUUUUUAUUUAAUUGGUUAGUGUUGUGUUUGUGUUCUUGUAAAAUAAAAUUUGAUGUUUAUUUGUUUCUAUUUUUAUUGUA